rnacentral:rRNA from 1 species
GCCUUCAUGAAGCCGGAAUUGCUAGUAAUGGCAGGUCAGCAUACUGCCGUGAAUACGUUCCCGGGCCUUGUACACACCGCCCGUCACACCAUGAGAGUUGGGAAUACCCGAAGCCUGUGAGCUAACGUUAAGAGGCAGCAGUCGAAGGUAGAAUCAAUGAUUGGGGUGAAGUCGUAACAAGGUAGC